rnacentral:rRNA from 1 species
AACGAACGCUGGCGGCAGGCCUAACACAUGCAAGUCGAGCGAGACCUUCGGGUCUAGCGGCGGACGGGUGAGUAACGCGUGGGAACGUGCCCUUUUCUGCGGAAUAGCCUCGGGAAACUGAGCGUAAUACCGCAUACGCCCUUCGGGGGAAAGAUUUAUCGGAAAAGGAUCGGCCCGCGUUGGAUUAGGUAGUUGGUGGGGUAAUGGCCUACCAAGCCUACGAUCCAUAGCUGGUUUGAGAGGAUGAUCAGCCACACUGGGACUGAGACACGGCCCAGACUCCUACGGGAGGCAGCAGUGGGGAAUCUUAGACAAUGGGGGCAACCCUGAUCUAGCCAUGCCGCGUGAGUGAUGAAGGCCUUAGGGUUGUAAAGCUCUUUCAGCUGGGAAGAUAAUGACGGUACCAGCAGAAGAAGCCCCGGCUAACUCCGUG